rnacentral:rRNA from 1 species
UACAGAGGGUGCGAGCGUUAAUCGGAAUUACUGGGCGUAAAGCGCGCAUAGGCGGCUUUGCAAGUCGGGUGUGAAAUCCCCAGGCUUAACCUGGGAACUGCAUUCGAGACUGCAUUGCUAGAGUAUGGGAGAGGGAAGUGGAAUUUCCGGUGUAGCGGUGAAAUGCGUAGAUAUCGGAAGGAACAUCAGUGGCGAAAGCGACUUCCUGGACCAAUACUGACGCUCAUGUGCGAAAGCGUGGGGAGCAAACAGG